rnacentral:rRNA from 1 species
UGGGGAAUUUUGGACAAUGGACGCAAGUCUGAUCCAGCCAUGCCGCGUGCGGGAAGAAGGCCUUCGGGUUGUAAACCGCUUUUGUCAGGGAAGAAACGAGUUUCUCUAAUACAGAGACUUAAUGACGGUACCUGAAGAAUAAGCACCGGCUAACUACGUGCCAGCAGCCGCGGUAAUACGUAGGGUGCGAGCGUUAAUCGGAAUUACUGGGCGUAAAGCGUGCGCAGGCGGUUAUAUAAGACAGAUGUGAAAUCCCCGGGCUCAACCUGGGAACUGCAUUUGUGACUGUAUAGCUAGAGUACGGCGGAGGGGGAUGGAAUUCCGCGUGUAGCAGUGAAAUGCGUAGAUAUGCGGAGGAACACCGAUGGCGAAGGCAAUCCCCUGGACCUGUACUGACGCUCAUGCACGAAAGCGUGGGGAGCAAACA